UUUUCCAGCAAGAAUCUUCCUCUUCCACCAAGUGAAGCCCAUUGACCCAAUAUCUGAAGGCAGCCUGGGAAGAACCUGCACUCUUUAGACCACCCAAGGCCAAUGUCAUGAUCAGGCAUGAAGCUGCCUGACAUCUAAGGAUCUCUGAAGAGAACUGGGACCUGAAACCCAUCUGAAAUGUAUCUGCAGACAGGUCAAGUUCAUCGAGAGUCACCUCCUGCCUGACACUCCAGUCAUUAAUUCCAGAUAGGGGAUUUAGCCUGGAAAGAAUAUAUGACUGCCAGUUACUAAGUGAGCCAGACAUCAAGCCUAGUGCCACGUGUCUCUUCUUUAAAGCAUGAUAGGUCACCAACUGAAGAGGAAAUUGGUGAGCAUCAACUUUCUCAGCAUGGUGAGAGAACAUUGAUGGCUGGUUCAUGCUAAAUGU
rnacentral:lncRNA from 1 species